UCUCCGUUGGUGAACCAGCGGAGGGAUCAUUACCGAGUUUACAACUCCCAAACCCAAUGUGAACGUUACCAAACUGUUGCCUCGGCGGGAUCUCUGCCCCGGGUGCGUCGCAGCCCCGGACCAAGGCGCCCGCCGGAGGACCCAAACUCUUGUCUCUUGCGAGUAUCUUCUGAGUGGCACAAGCAAAUAAAAUCAAAACUUUCAACAACGGAUCUCUUGGUUCUG
rnacentral:misc_RNA from 1 species